rnacentral:rRNA from 1 species
UACGUAGGGUGCAAGCGUUAAUCGGAAUUACUGGGCGUAAAGCGUGCGCAGGCGGUUUUGUAAGACUGAUGUGAAAUCCCCGGGCUUAACCUGGGAACUGCAUUGGUGACUGCAAGGCUUGAGUGUGUCAGAGGGAGGUGGAAUUCCGCGUGUAGCAGUGAAAUGCGUAGAUAUGCGGAGGAACACCGAUGGCGAAGGCAGCCUCCUGGGAUAACACUGACGCUCAUGCACGAAAGCGUGGGGAGCAAACAGG